GAGCUUCCGUAAAGAAGUCGCACUGGCUUUGCGAAAGCGGUGUCGAGGGAAUACCAGCAUAGUCUGUUGUUGUUCUUUUCGAUUGUUCUUUUGCAGACGCGUCGAGCAAUCAUGAAAGUGAACAUUGAGGCAAUAUCAGAUGCUCUAGACAGCAUUCUUGCUGCAGAAACGAUUUCUCCAUCGGAAAAGACGCACACCGCAUCCAUUCACAAUCAGCCACUCCUUUCACAAUCAAGCGUGAAUCCUUCCCAAAGCGAAUGCUUGAAACCAACAGCACCGGAAGCGUCAGGAGCUUCUCUUUCGAAUGGCGAAUCUGGGGCUGCGGCUGAUGCAGAAUCCGCUAUCGAGUCCUCUGCGGGUGCAAAAAAGAUUACCCAGCAGCUACAGGUUUCCCCCAGUGAUGGCCGUGAAAAAGCACUCUUUACCAGGAAGGCGGAGAAAAAAGGUCGUUUUCCUAAGAUUACUACGUCGCACGAUCAAGAGAAUUCGCCAAAACUGAGUGGCACGGUUAAAAACGCCGAUACUCUAGCUGCAGACUUUUUUGAGUGCAUCAAAAGUGUCAAACUAGUUGCUUUCAAAGUCGUGGAAGCAACAGGUGUCGGUGCCGUAUCUGCACUGCUGACGCCACAAAACGUCGGACGGUGGAUUUCUCGAUCUGAGCUGCCGUCGAAGAGCUGGGUCACAAGUACUUCCCUUUCCCAUGAAGCUCGCGCGGUUUUCGAGCUUGAAAAUCGAGUGGACAUGCGGCGAUGCAGAGAGUUGCCCUCUGACACGCCCAGCAGUAGAAGCAGCCCCCCUGCGGGAGGCAGCACCGGCACUUGUGUGCAGGACUUUGUUGCCGUGCUUUUAGUGGAGGACGCUGUUGAGAGACAAUUGUUUCACCUCCAUUCUCCAGCUUUUUCCAAUCGCGAGCGGGAUGCUUUCAGUGUUGUCAUUGAAACCUCCAGCUCCCGGCGUGGGGGCUUUGUUACUGCCGCCUCUACCUCAGCCGCUCCCAGCAGUGUGGCUACCCUAAAGAUACCGGGAACCCGUCUCAACGCCUUUGUACGGAUUAGGAUUAGUCCUCCAGCAACUGAACCUAGCACGAAACUGAUCAGAGUGCGUGCGGUCUGCUUUUUUCGCUCUGAUAACUGGUCAACACACAAUGCAGCACCUGUGCAGAGAGGCCGUUUGCUUCUCAAUGGAGAGGUCCAUGCUACUUCGCGAGAGAGCGCAAAGGCCGCUCCGCAAGAUGUGCAGUCGGUCAGCGAACAGGUACAAGAAAGAGGCGCUACAGAAGUUGGAACAACUCAGGCGCCACCACUUUCUCUGACGAAGUACGAGCAGGAGCGGAAAGGUGAGGAAGUUGCACAUUUUGCUUUAUCAGAUUACGACGCGGAAGCUGAUGUUGCCGGCUUUGUGAAAGCCGUUGCGCUUGCGCGUUCACGCCGAGACAGCGCAACACCGAAGCAGCCAAGCUUACGCGGCGAAUGCAACGUCGAAUACGAUUGGCUUUUAGACACAUUGGUGGACGUGUCAACGACAAACUACAACACUUGUCGAAAAGCGAGCAUGCCCGACGCAGGUGACGAGGCGCCAGUACUGGAGUACAUUCGCACUCUUCAGGCGUGGAACAGUGCACCAGCUUUGAGUGUGAACGCAGCAGUAACCUACUGCCUGUCGGAAACCACCUCCUUUUCGGCGAGUACGAUAUUUGCAACCGGGUUGUUUAGCCACGAAGCGCAAAAUCAUUUGUCACAGCCAUUCAAACUUCAUUUUUUUGUAGUGUCUCCCUCUGAUGAUAUCGGUCAAAGCAGUGAACAAGCAUAUUCUUCGGGUGUUCGUCUGCCACCAGUACACUUUUUGGCUGCAAUUGCUAAUCAGGCCGCCUUGUUAGGGUCCACUACCGAGCUUCUUUUUACUUGUCCGUCGAACAGCGGGUUCGGCUGCGCACUUCGGACACAAAAUUGCACCUCCGGCACUCAAGACGCUCACUACAAGCUUAUCUUUGUUGUUCCAGCGCAGAGCAGCAGCGAUAUGAAUGAAGGUGGCACGACCAGUGUUAUUAAGUGCCUACUGCGCACUGCCUUGAGCAUUUUUCGUGGGCCUUCCGACAGGCGAGGCAUCCCUCUGAGCCAAGAAUGUCCUUUUUCUUCGUAUAAUACGCUUCAGUGCGCGAAACCGUCUGGCGCACUACGGCUGCUGAUAGACGGGACGCGCUGCUUUGAUGAUCUGAUUCCCGUUCUUGUAGAGUGGGCUGAAGUCUCAGGGAGCCUACGAUACUACGGCAGCGCAGCGCAGCGUACUCUCCAGCUACUAUUUUUCCCUUCCUGGCUGGCCAGCAGCGAUGGUGACAGCGAGCAAUCCAGUGCUUUAUCUGAGCUUCGUCAUAAGGCUCAGUGGUCCGGCCUAGCGCUCCGGCUAUCGGGUCUCUGGAGGAAGAGCCCAAAUGAAGUGGACAGUGUAGCUGACGACAUUGUAGCCUUGGAGGCUGAGUACCACUGCCCCGCGACAUAUGUGUGGCAGUCGCGACGCGGAGCACUGCGACUAGUUCUCACUGAUGCUCACUUUAUGGAGUAUUUCGCCCGCGUGGACGGGCUUGUGGCACCUUCUCCGCUUGUCAGCCUCGCCACGAGCUACUGCGGAAAGGAGGUGGGCUGCGCAACGCAUACUCUGCCACUGACUACUCUCAGCGAGGCACCGUGGAUGACGCUGCUACAAGCCGCCGAGAGGUUGUGCAAAAGCACUACCGCGCCGGUCGCGACGUCGGGAAAGGAUGCUGCUGCCGAUUUCUUUGCCCUGCGCCGUCGCGUUACGGUUUCUUUUGCUUUUCAUAUCCUCAGCACCGCUUUCAAACGUGAAUGGACUCGCGUGAGCGCCAGUAUCCCGCUGUGCGACGGACAUAUCCGAGAUGCGACGUUUGAGCUUCCAAACGUGCACGUAUCUUCUCUCGGAGAAAAAGUAAGCGGUGGAAACGGCAUGAGCAGCGCUUUGGGACUUCUGGACGAGGAUGCUUUUAUAGACACGCUUCUGCAGUGGCAGUACCCGUUCCCCAAUGUGGUUGUGCUACAUUGCACGGAUGUUCUAAGUGCUGCAGACCCAUCGCCCUCGCUCACAUCGAAAACAGCUCUUUGCACGCCGUCCUCAAGAGUACGAGAGGGUGUCCUGUCUCUCUUUUCAGAAGAGGUAUUGCACUCUUUUGCUUCCGUCUCUGCCGUAGAUGAGGCUCUGUCUUGACCCCGAGGUGUGGCGUUUUUUUUCCUUAUAGAGAAGUUUCAAAUGCUUUGAUACUGCGCGCAAGAGCGAGCCGAAAGCACGAGACACUUCCGGCUGUGCUUUUCGUCUGCUUUCGCAUAGGCGCCUUUCUUCAUUCAGCAUACAGAGUAUACGUGGUUUUACCUUCUGCAUAGGACACAUGCAAGUGUGCCUCUCGGCGUCUUUUGUUUCUUCGUUCAUUUCUCUUCACCUCCGCCUCGCUCAGCUCUGUUUUUGCGUGCAGCGUUGCUGUGCCCGUCAUCGUGACGACGACUUUUUGAUUAUUCUUUUCGCUUCCAGAAUAGAUGGUGUGAUUGAGAGAAGUACCAAUGCUUCGGUGCUAG
rnacentral:misc_RNA from 1 species